AUACAGAGGGUGCGAGCGUUAAUCGGAAUUACUGGGCGUAAAGCGCGCGUAGGCGGCUACUUAAGUCAGAUGUGAAAUCCCCGGGCUCAACCUGGGAACUGCAUCUGAUACUGGGUAGCUAGAGUUUAGGAGAGGGAAGUAGAAUUUCAGGUGUAGCGGUGAAAUGCAUAGAGAUCUGAAGGAAUACCAGUGGCGAAGGCGGCUUCCUGGCCUAAAACUGACGCUGAGGUGCGAAAGCGUGGGUAGCAAACGGAAUUAGAAACCCUAGUAGUCC
rnacentral:rRNA from 1 species